rnacentral:lncRNA from 1 species
ACAUUGUAUUUUAAUUUUUUUUAAAUCCAUCAUAUGGAUUAUCCGAGUCCAGAUUUUGCUAAAUUAAAAUACACCGAUGCAUAUCUCUUACUAAUUUAGAGGGGUCAAUCCCAUCUUGACUCACGCACCGACUUGACAAGUACUUGACUGUAUCCAAAAAUCUUCCAUCACUGAAUUAGAAACUUAGUUAGUUUAGCACUAAAGUACAGUGAGUUGCUUGCAAGCCACUAUGAUGAUC